AAAGCCUUCGGGUGAGUACAGCGGCGGACGGGUGAGUAACACGUAGGAAUUUGCCCAGUAGUGGGGGAUAACGUUUCGAAAGAAACGCUAAUACCGCAUACGCCCUACGGGGGAAAGGGGGCUUCGGCUCUCGCUAUUGGAGAAGCCUGCGUCGGAUUAGCUAGUUGGUGGGGUAAAGGCCUACCAAGGCGACGAUCCGUAGCUGGUCUGAGAGGAUGAUCAGCCACAUCGGGACUGAGACACGGCCCGA
rnacentral:rRNA from 1 species